rnacentral:rRNA from 1 species
AGAAUCAACGCUGGCGGCGUGCCUAACACAUGCAAGUCGCACGAGAAAGGGGCUUCGGCCCUGAGUAAAGUGGCGCGCGGGUGAGUAACACGUGAAUAAUCUACCUCUGAGUGGGGAAUAACUGAGAGAAAUCUUAGCUAAUACCGCAUAAUACUUACGAGUCAAAGCAGCAAUGCGCUUGGAGAGGAGUUCGCGGCCGAUUAGUUAGUUGGCGGGGUAAUGGCCCACCAAGACGAUGAUCGGUA